UCCCUGGUCGUCUAGUGGUUAAGGAUCCUCCGCUCUCACUGCCAUGGCCCAGGCUCGAUUCCUGGGCAGGGAA